rnacentral:rRNA from 1 species
UUCCGGUUGAUCCCGCCGGAGGCCAUUGCUAUUGGGAUCCGAUUUAGCCAUGCUAGUCGUACGAGUUCAGACUCGUGGCGAAUAGCUCAGUAACACGUGGCCAAACUACCCUUCGGACCGCAAUACCCUCGGGAAACUGAGGCUAAUAGCGGACACCACACGCAGACUGGAAUGUCGCGUGUGUCAAACGCUCCGGCGCCGAAGGAUGUGGCUGCGGCCGAUUAGGUAGACGGUGGGGUAACGGCCCACCGUGCCAAUAAUCGGUACGGGUCAUGAGAGUGAGAACCCGGAGACGGAAUCUGAGACAAGAUUCCGGGCCCUACGGGGCGCAGCAGGCGCGAAACCUUUACACUGCACGCCAGUGCGAUAAGGGGAUCCCAAGUGCGUAGGCAUAGAGCCUACGCUUUUGUCCACCCUAGGGUGGUGGACGAAUAAGGGCUGGGCAAGACCGGUGCCAGCCGCCGCGGUAAUACCGGCAGCCCGAGUGAUGGCCGAUCUUAUUGGGCCUAAAGCGUCCGUAGCUGGCCGCACAAGUCCAUCGGGAAAUCCACCUGCUCAACAGGUGGGCGUCCGGUGGAAACUGUGUGGCUUGGGACCGGAAGGCGCGACGGGUACGUCCGGGGUAGGAGUGAAAUCCCGUAAUCCUGGACGGACCGCCGAUGGCGAAAGCACGUCGCGAAAACGGAUCCGACAGUGAGGGACGAAAGCUAGGGUCUCGAACCGGAUUAGAUACCCGGGUAGUCCUAGCCGUAAACACUGCCUGCUAGGUGUGGCACCCACUACGAGUGGGCGCUGUGCCGUANGGAAGCCGCUAAGCANGCCGCCUGGGAAGUACGUCCGCAAGGAU